rnacentral:rRNA from 1 species
UACGUAGGGUGCGAGCGUUAUUCGGAAUUACUGGGCGUAAAGGGUGCGUAGGCGGCGCGGUAAGUCGGGUGUGAAAUCUCGGGGCUUAACUCCGAAACUGCAUUCGAUACUGCCGUGCUUGAGGACUGGAGAGGAGACUGGAAUUUACGGUGUAGCGGUGAAAUGCGUAGAUAUCGUAAGGAAGACCAGUGGCGAAGGCGGGUCUCUGGACAGUUCCUGACACUGAGACACGAAGGCCAGGGGAGCAAACGGG